GCUUGAUCGAGCUCGAUCACGUCGAACUGCUAGCGUUUGGAGGCGGCGUCCGGCGUGCAUACACACACGCGACGGGAACUGGAAUAUCACAGCCGUGCCGCAUCCAAAUCUCAGGGUUUCUUCCUUCGAACCGGAGGACUUCUUGGUGGAAUUCUCCUCGGCUGCUGAUGCUGACAGAAUCCUCCACGCUCACCAACCUACCGAAGCUCCGUUUAAGCUGUUUUGGAAGCGCUGGAGAAGACAAGCUUCAGCCUCCCUGGCUUCGCUGCGCUUCAGGGUGCUAAUUGAAUUUCGUGGUAUUCCGGCUCACGCCAGGAGCAUUACCACCGCCAGGAUCAUCUUGGGCACCUCCUGUUCUGAUAUUGUUGGGGCUCCACCUGAGCUUGUUGGGGAUGACUGUAAGAGAUUCUUUGUGGGCGCCUGGUGUAUUCAUCCAGACCUGGUACCACAAGUAAAGAUGAUGUUUAUUAAUGAACCACCUGAACCUUAUGUCGAAUCGGGUUUGUUCCUGCGUC